rnacentral:lncRNA from 1 species
UUUACGGGUUGAACUAUAUAUUGCCUUCAAAAUUGUACAUAAAAGAUUUUCACGGAUGGAUUUACCGUGUCCUUAAAAAGUUUUUAAGGGUUGAACAAGUUUUACGGGGUGUGCUCCACGCCGUUUUUCUGACCGAAACUGUAAACACCUCGUCUUUUUAUGAGUUUGGCCAGUUUACAGGUCUGCUAAAAAUACUCGAAGGACCGCUGGUACCACUUUAAGGAUGAGGGUGAUUCAUCCCGGGACGAGAAGGUGGUGGGCGGAGCUGAGGCCUCAUAUGGAGUUGACACGAACUAGUACGACCAUAGCGGUGCUACCAACCACAUCACGAGCGAGCUAAGAGCAUCUCUAGUAGAACCCUCAAACCCUUAAAUCUAAAACCAGUUUUAAGGGUUGAGAAUUGGCCAUUUUUGACACUUUUAA